rnacentral:rRNA from 1 species
UGCCUUCGGGAACUGUGAGACAGGUGCUGCAUGGCUGUCGUCAGCUCGUGUUGUGAAAUGUUGGGUUAAGUCCCGCAACGAGCGCAACCCUUAUCCUUUGUUGCCAGCGGUUAGGCCGGGAACUCAAAGGAGACUGCCAGUGAUAAACUGGAGGAAGGUGGGGAUGACGUCAAGUCAUCAUGGCCCUUACGACCAGGGCUACACACGUGCUACAAUGGCGCAUA